GCCUUUGUGGGUGCGGCGCCCGGGAUGCCCUAGCGUUCUCUCUGUUUUUCUUUUUACCUGUCGCGCUUGUAACUUUUUGUUGUUAUUUUUCUCGGCUUCCGCUGUACUCCUAGAUGUUGUAACCUUUGCUUUGUUAGUAUGAUGUUGUACUUCUCACUUUUUCAUGUUGCGCGUUUUGAUUUCGCUCUUGCGCGUUGAUGCAGUUUUACGCUAUUUGGC
rnacentral:lncRNA from 1 species